rnacentral:rRNA from 1 species
UACGUAGGGUGCGAGCGUCGUCCGGAAUUAUUGGGCGUAAAGAGCUUGUAGGCGGUUUGUCGCGUCUGCCGUGAAAGCCCAGGGCUUAACCCUGGGUCUGCGGUGGGUACGGGCAGACUAGAGUGUGGUAGGGGAGACUGGAAUUCCUGGUGUAGCGGUGAAAUGCGCAGAUAUCAGGAGGAACACCGGUGGCGAAGGCGGGUCUCUGGGCCGAUACUGACGCUGAGGAGCGAAAGCGUGGGGAGCGAACAGG